GUGAGGAAUAUUGCGCAAUGGAGGCAACUCUGACGCAGCCAUGCCGCGUGCAGGAAGAAGGCGCUACGCGUUGUAAACUGCUUUUAACCGGGAAGAAACCCCAGGACGUGUCCUGGGUUGACGGUACCGGAGGAAUAAGCACCGGCUAACUUCGUGCCAGCAGCCGCGGUAAUACGAAGGGUGCAAGCGUUAUCCGGAGUCAUUGGGUUUAAAGGGUGCGUAGGCGGAGCGUUAAGUCAGUGGUGAAAUCCUGCAGCUUAACUGUAGACUUGCCAUUGAUACUGGCGCUCUUGAGUGCGCUUGAAGUGGGCGGAAUGUGCCGUGUAGCGGUGAAAUGCUUAGAUAUGGCACAGAACACCAAUUGCGAAGGCAGCUCACUAAGGCGAUACUGACGCUGAGGCACGAAAGCGUGGGGAUCGAACAGGAUUAGAAACCCGGGUAGUCC
rnacentral:rRNA from 1 species